UGUUGGUGCUCCCGCGACGAUAAAUCGUGAAUCCCGUCAGGUCUGGAAGGAAGCAGCGGUAGCGGUUGAUUCGGGCGCCGGGAUGUCGCUGGUGCAG
rnacentral:SRP_RNA from 1 species